UCUGUCCGUCUGUCUGUCCGUCUCUCCUCUAGAGAACCAGGUCUGUCUGUCCGCCUCUCCUCUAGAGAACCAGGUCUGUCUGUCCGUCUCUCCUCUAGAGAACCAGGUCUGUCUGUCCGUCUGUCUGUCCGUCUCUCCUCUAGAGAACCAGGUCUGUCUGUCCAUCUCUCCUCUAGAGAACCAGGUCUGUCUGUCCGUCUCUCCUCUAGAGAACCAGGUCUGUCUGUCUGUCUGUCUGUCUCUCCUCUAGAGAACCAGGACUGAGACACUGUGCCUGUCCACACUGCCUGUCCCCACUGCCUGUCCGUCUCUCCUCUAGGGAACCAGGACUGAGGCACUGUGCCUGUCCCCACUGCCUGUCCCCACUGCCUGUCCGUCUCUCCUCUAGGGAACCAGGACUGAGGCACUGUGCCUGUCCCCACUGCCUGUCCACACUGCCUGUCCACAC
ensembl:lncRNA